rnacentral:rRNA from 1 species
GCAGUCGAGGGGCACAUGGUAUCAGCUUGCUGAUACCGAUGGCGACCGGCGCACGGGUGAGUAACGCGUAUGUAAUCUACCUGUAACAGAGGGAUAACCCGGAGAAAUCCGGACUAAUACCUCAUAGCACAUAUUAUUCGCAUGAAUUUUAUGUUAAAGAGACUCGGUUACAGAUGAACAUGCGUUCCAUUAGCUGGUUGGCGGGGUCACGGCCCACCAAGGCAACGAUGGAUAGGGGUUCUGAGAGGAAGGUCCCCCACACUGGUACUGAGACACGGACCAGACUCCUACGGGAGGCAGCAGUGAGGAAUAUUGGUCAAUGGGCGGAAGCCUGAACCAGCCAAGUCGCGUGGAGGAAGACGGCCCUACGGGUUGUAAACUCCUUUUACCUGGGAAUAACGGGCGCUACGCGUAGCGCUGUGCAAGUACCGGGAGAAUAAGCAUCGGCUAAUUCCGUGCCAGCAGCCGCGGUAAUACGGAAGAUGCGAGCGUUAUCCGGAUUUAUUGGGUUUAAAGGGUGCGUAGGCGGAAGAAUAAGUCAGCGGUGAAAUGC